UUUACAAACUUGACGUACACACGCAGUCCUAUCCCUACGGUCCUGGAAUUGGGGGUUACUAUCUUGGAAUCUGGGGGCACUCCAGGCUCUGGGCUCAGACGGCUGACUUCUGCCUACCCGAGCCUUAACCUUUCAAAGACCCGAAGGAUUCCAGAGCUCUUGCCCUAGGUCCUGGGGCAGCGAUGACUCACUGCAGCACCCCCUCCCACUUCGCCAAGCUGCCGUCUCCGCCCACCCCCAAACAAUCUCUACAGCGCAUUUCGGGAGCCACGGCUCCGGGCGCUUUGCUGGGGGCUAAAGGGGUUUAUCCCUUUCCUUGAAUCCCAGCAGGCUAGAACUACCCCCUCCCAGGCUUCAGGCUUGCCACGCUCUCCACCCGAUCCUUCCAUCGAAAGGCAGAAAAGGAAGGAUGUGCUUGGGAACUUUAAGACCCACGAACGACAGCGCACUGAUGGAGCAGCCCAGUGUCCGGGGAUUCUAGACAGCAGUGACAAGAGUGGCAGCCGUGGCUACUGCUGCAUGAUUUUGGAAUGGAACGCUGCCUGAGUUUCAGCUGAGGUGUAUCAGUAUGGCAGAUUCAAAAUAACAAGCAACGUCCUCCAGGUUCAUUCAUUCAGGAAGCCUCUGUCCAGCCUUUACCAUGCGCUGAGUGAGAAGCUGAGGAUAAGGAAAGAUCAAGACCCCCAAGAAACCCUGAUGUCUGGCUGAAAGCCGAAGCAUGACACAACUUUGCUAUAUUUCUCUCCAACAAGGAUUUGUAUAUUUUCACUUUCUCCUCAAGUAACACCUGGACCUGCUCCUUUCCCUUCAAAUGCUGAGGGCUCAGUCUCCAAGUUCCUUUGUGAAACAGGGUGUACCAUCAGAGACGCAGGAAAAACACACAUUGUAAAGUAAGAAUUCUUCAAAGACAACUUGAAGACAUCUGGGAAUUCUGAAGCCUGAAAACUUCAUGAGUUCAUAGCAGUGUUCACUAAUUCCACUGAUCUAAAGACAAAAAGGAGAGUCAACUGCGUGCCCAAACUCAUUUCUGAUGAUUUCUUCCAUCCUACCUUUUCUGCCUCUCUGGGGGUGGUUAUGCCUGUGAAAAACAUCGAAGCUGUCAGGAACAGAGUCAGCUUUCAAGAUUGGAAUGUCAAAGUAGAGUCUUCUUUUCCUCAGACCAGAAGGGGCUUGGUUGGGUAAGAGUUUCCAGAUCUAAAUGGAGACAGGACUGGGAUAUAGGAGCUUGUAUAGAUAAACAGCACAAACACCUUGGGUAAGUGAUACACCAAGAGAGAUCAAAAUAGGGUAGGAACACGAUCCUAAAGCUACAUGAGAUAAGAAGCCAAGAGAUCCUGUCUACAGGCUGAUUUGUGUUGCAACCAGAGGCCAACUACACUCAAGAAAAUUCUAAAUGAUGUAAUUGGUCGUGGACACUUUUUUGUAAAAAUGAUCGAUAUUUUUUUCUUAUAGGGAUAAAGCUUAAAAGCAUGGGAUGUAGCUCCAUUAGGAAAUAUGAAGUGAGUUGGUAUAUUCCAGGUAGGUUAGACUGAGAUAAUUAUAAAAUUGGGCUGAUCUUACAUAGAGAAGAACUUGAUUCCUAAAGGUGUUGAAGGACAAGAUGGGGACAGUUAUUAAAGUGUUCAGGUGCUGUCCUUUGUAGUCUGUAGCCUAUUAAAAUAAUACACAACUGAACACAGACCCAAGGAAAGGGGUUCCACUCAUCGCUAGAAUGUAAACUCUAAGAAGAUAAGGAUUUUGUCUGCUUCAUUUACUACUGUAUUCCCAGCUCCUAAAAGAGUAUCUAGCACUUAGUAUCUGUUGGUAAGUACCUGUUGAAUUAAUUAACCAGUGGUGACACUUUGGAAAGCAGCUAGUCCAUCUGUAAGAUCGUUUUCUCAUCUGUGAGAUGAGUCAGUUAGAUUAGAUGUUUCUAAGCUUAUUCUAGUUUUAAAAUUGUAUGUUUCUAUCAGAAAUGAUAAAUGAAAAAUGUCCAUUCCUUUUUCAUCUCCAUCACCCAUCUCACAUCUUCCUUCAGUGCCUAUGUGAUCUGUUUGAGUAUAACCAGGUGUAGAAAAGUACUAAGUGAUAUGAGAUGACUUCAGUAGUCCAGGGACUCUUUUUCCCCCCUCUGUAAAGAGCCAUUUGCUUAAUUUAAUGUACAUUAUAAAAACAGAAUUCGUUUCUCAAUUUCAUUUAUAGUCAUACUAUAGUUCACUUUUCACAUCAAUUUAAGGUACAAGGAAGUCAACUUAAAGAAAGUAUUUUAAGUAAAUUAUAAUGCAAGUUCUUCACAGUUGUAGCACAAACCACAAUGGUAGGACACAAGCAAUUGCUAUUUGAGAAAUAGGCCUCUUCGUCAGUACUUGUGGCACGUAUCUUAAAACCCGACUUUCACUAGUGCUCUCAAAGGAACUAAGUCACAAUUCAAGUGAACAUACCAUUUAGCUGAGGGCCCUUUAUUCCUGUUUAUGGUAAAAUAAUUGCCUUACUUGUACUUUUAAAAAAUAUACUUUUUCUGCUUCUGACCAUAAUGGGCUAACUGCCAUUAAAGAGACCAUCUAUCAUAAACAAUUAGAGAACUGGAUAGAAAAUAUGAAGCCACUGUUUUUGGAUAAUAGGCAGCACAAAACUAUGAUCCCUGAGAAAAAGGAAGGAAAUGAGCUGAUGCCUAUAAUUGCCCUGAUUUUUUGCCUGGAGAUACUGUCCGAACUGCUACUCUGGAAAGGAAAACCCAGGUGAAACAUGGGGCUUCACCAAGUAGAGGAGACAGGGAUCAAUAUUGGGAAAGCUGAAAUGACUGGAAUUUGUAGGGCAGAAUAUGGGGAAGGAAGGAGCUAUGUAGGGAAAGAGCUCAAGAAAUACGCACAAGGGGGUUGGAUGCGGUGGCUCACGCCUGUAAUCCCAGCACUUUGGGAAGCUGAGGUGGGCAGAUUACUUGAGGCUAGGAGUUCAAGACCAGCCUGACCAACCUGGUGAAACUCUGUCUCUACUAAAAAUACAAAAAUUAACCGGGCAUGGCCCGAUGCGGUGGCUCCUGCCUGUAAUCCCAGCACUUUGGGAGGCCAAAGCGGGCGGAUCACAAGAUCAGGAAUUCAAGACCAGCCUGACCAACAUGGUGAAACCCUUUCUCUACUAAAAAUACAAAUAUUAGCUGGGCGUGGUGGUGCAUGCCUGUAAUUCUAGCUACUCAGGAGGCUGAGGCAGGAGAAUCGCUUGAACCCGGAAGGCGGAGGUUGCAGUGAGCCAAGACCACGCCACUGCACUCCAGCCUGAGAGACAGAGCAAAACUCCAUCUCAAAAAAAAAAAAAAUUAGUCAGGCAUGGUGGCAGGCACCUGUAAUCCCAGCUACUCGGAGGCUGAGGCACAAGAAUCACUUGAACCCAGGUGGCAGAAGUCACCGUGAGCGAAGAUCGCACCACUGCAUUUCCAGCCCGAGUGACAAAGUGAGACCCUGUCUCAAAAAUAAAAAUAAAAAUAAAAGAAUAUACAAAGGACGUUCUUGAGUUUUUGGCUGAUUAUGGAACUAUAUACGGUAAGACUCCACAAGUGAAAGAAUAGUACUUGGAAAGACAAUUACUGAAGAACUAUAAACUGAACAACUACCAGAUCUCCUCCUGAACUGAAAUAUAUUCAAGUUCCAGCCAAAGUCGAGACACACUAUUGAAUUUAUGCAUCAUUUAGUAGAGACCCCAAAAUAUUCAUGCCUCAGUAGUAAUGCAAAAUUGUCCCUACAAUAAAAACUACAGUAGCUCCCCCUUAUCCACAGUCUUACUUCCUGGAGCUUCAGUUACCCACAGUCAACUUCAGUCCAAAAAUAUUCAAUGGAAAAUCUCAGAAAUAAGCAAUUCAUAAAUUUUAAAUUGUACACUGUUCUGAGUAGCAUAACGAAAUUUCAAGCCAUCCCACUCUGUACCACCCAGAACAUGAAUCAUCCCUUUGUCCAGUAUAUGCCACCCUCCCAUUGGUCACUUAGGUUAUCAGAAUGACUGUGGCAGUAUCACAGUGCUUAUACACAAGUAACCCUUGUUUCGUUUAAUAACAGCCCCCACAUGCAAGAAUAGCAAUGCUGGCAAUUUGGAUAAGCCAAAGAGAAGCCACAAAGUACUUCCUUUAAGUAAAAAUGUGAAAGUUCUUGACUUAAUAAGGUAAAAAAAGUCAUAUGCUGAGGCGGCUGAGAUCUACAGUGAGAACAUAUCUUCUAUCCUUGGAAUUGUGAAGAAGGAAAAAGAUAUUUGCUAGUUUUGCUGUUGCACCUCAAACUGCAAAAGUUACCACCACAGUUCGUGCAAAGUGCUUAGUUAAGAUGGAAAAAGAGUUACAUUUGUGGGUGCAAGACAUGAACAGAGAGGCAUUCCAAUCAAUAGCAAUCAGGUUCAGGGGGUACUGUCCUCAGUUUCAGGCAUCCAUAGAGGGUCUUGGAAAGUAUUCCCCACGGGGGUGGGGGGAGGGGAGGCUACUGUACUCCAUACUUGUUCUAAUAAAACUUUUUAGAAAUCUCAAAAAGAUUAAGCUAAUCUACAUGAAAUUUAAAUGCUUGCUAGAACAAAGCACAAUGCUCUUUAAAGGAGCAAAACUAAAUCCAGACAAUCAAUACUGUAACACAAUGUUCAGCAACAUGCAAUAAAAAAAUUACUAGACACACAAGAAAUUAAGAAAUAAAACGUCCUUUCCAUAAACAGGAGAAAAAUGCAUCAACAGAAAGAGACCCAGAAGUGAGAGAGAUGAUAAAAUUAGUGGACAAGGAUUUUCAAACAGCUAUCAGUAGUUUAAGUAUGUGUAUAAAAACAUAAAUGCAAUGAGAGAAAUGGGAACUGUAAAAAAGAACCUAGUGAAACUUCUAAAGCAGGAAAGUAUAAUAUCUGAAGUGAAAAUAUUCACUAGAUAGUUGCAAUAACAGUUUGAUAUUGCAGAAGAAAAAGGUCAGUGAGCUUGAAUAGAACAGAGAGGAAAGUACAGAACAGUGAGCUUGAAUAGAACAGAGAGGAAAGUAAGUUCAACCAUUAGUGCUGUAACAAUCAGACUGUAUUGAAAAAGACUAACUUUGGUUCCUACUGCUUACCACACGCAAAAAGUAAACUAGACACAGAUCGUGGAACUAAAUGUGAAACCUAAAACGAUAAAAUUUUAUGACCUGGCCAUAAUGGAUUUCUUAGACCAUAAAAAGUACUAACCAAAAAACACCAAAUUGAUAGAUUUCCUCAAAAGCAAAAACUUUUGCUACUGACAAAGCACCAUUAAAAAAUAAGUCAAGUCAAAGACUGAAAGAAAAUAUUCACAAUGCACAUCAUAGAGUUGUAUCUGGACUAUAAGAAGAACUUUUAUGACUCAAUAAUAAGAAGACAACCAAAUUUUUAAGAGGAGCAAAAGAUUUGAACAUAUACUUCACAGAAGAAUAUAAGGGUCAGUAAACACUAAAAGAUACUCAACAUCAUAGUCACCAUAGAAAUGCAAUUUUAAACCGCAAUAAGAUACCACUACACACCUACUAAAGUAGCUAAAAUGUGAAAAGGCAGAUAUUACCAAGAUUUGGAGAGGAUGUAGGAGUACUGGAAAUGUCAUACAUGGGUAGUGAGAGUGUAAAAUAGUACAAACAUCUUAGAACACAAUUUGAUAGUUUCUUAUAAAGUUAAAGACAUGCUUAUCAUAUAACUCAUCAACCCCUUUUCUAGGUAUCAGCCCAAGAAAAAUAAAAAACAUAUGUCUGCUCACAGAUUGCUUGUCUACUUAUGUAUGAAUACUUGUUGAACACAAUAUGAAUGAAUCUCAAAAAUAUUUUGCUGAGUAAAAGUGCCCAAUCCCCAAAAAGUACACGUCACAUGACUCAAUUUGUUUGAAGAUCUAAAACAGGUAAAUCUAGUCUUUAUUGAUAGAAAAUAUAAUGGCAGCUAGGGUUAGGGUGGGAGGUUGCCUGGGCAGAAACAGAAGAUAAUAUUUUAGUGAAUUGGGAAUUUUAUGUGUCUUGAUUUUGGUGAUCAUUAUACAUAUGUAUUCAUAUAUCAAAACUUAAACUGGACA